rnacentral:rRNA from 1 species
GUUGCUCUGAUUGCUUAUUGCACCACAUGUGUUUUUCUUUGAAACAAACUUGCUUUGGCGGUGGGCCCAGCCUGCCGCCAGAGGUCUAAACUUACAACCAAUUUUUUAUCAACUUGUCACACCAGAUUAUUACUAAUAGUCAAAACUUUCAACAACGGAUCUCUUGGUUCUCGCAUCGAUGAAGAACGCAGCGAAAUGCGAUACGUAAUAUGAAUUGCAGAUAUUCGUGAAUCAUCGAAUCUUUGAACGCACAUUGCGCCCUCUGGUAUUCCGGAGGGCAUGCCUGUUUGAGCGUCGUUUCUCCCUCAAACCGCUGGGUUUGGUGUUGAGCAAUACGACUUGGGUUUGCUUGAAAGACGGUAGUGGUAAGGCGGGAUCGCUUUGACAAUGGCUUAGGUCUAACCAAAAACAUUGCUUGCGGCGGUAACGUCCACCACGUAUAUCUUCAAACUUUGACCUCAAAUCAGGUAGGACUACCCGCUGAACUUAAGCAUAUCAAAAGCCGGAGGAA